UACGUAGGGUGCAAGCGUUGUCCGGAAUUAUUGGGCGUAAAGAGCUCGUAGGCGGUUUGUUGCGUCGGCUGUGAAAUCCCGAGGCUCAACCUCGGGUCUGCAGUCGAUACGAGCAAACUAGAGUGUUGCAGGGGAGACUGGAAUUCCUGGUGUAGCGGUGGAAUGCGCAGAUAUCAGGAGGAACACCGGUGGCGAAGGCGGGUCUCUGGGCCGUAACUGACGCUGAGGAGCGAAAGCAUGGGGAGCGAACAGG
rnacentral:rRNA from 1 species